GUGGAAACACGGAGUAGAGAGUGAAUACAUAUAUUUCAGGGCUCAUGUAAGACAAGUUUUACUAUAUUUCAAUUUUUUUAUAGACUCACAAUAUCUACCAUCUGUUUCUGUGGCUGCUGUUUGCCUGGCACAGUACUUUACAUACAUUAUCUCAUCUAAUUCUCAAAACCUCUUUACUAAAUGGAUGUUAUUGCCUCUACACAGAAAGGAGGCUCAGACCGAUUAAUAAUGCUCUCAAGGUCACAGAAGUAGAAAGUUAGCUCCGAUGGAAAAAGAUUUUAAAGCACUAGAGUACACUCUGCUAAGAAAAGCUUCUUCCAAGGAUCAUAUCUUAUGUUUCGGCGUAUCUGACCUAGGUCUCAGAAGACGCCUAAUAAAUGUCAGUUAAAUAAAUGAGUGAAUGAUUUUUCACUUUCUCUGAGAAACGCAAGCGGCAAAGUCGCUGGAGAACCUCCCGGUCGCCAGGGGGCGCCGCACAACCUCAGCACCGCGAGCCCCGGUGCGGACGUCUCUCUUCCUGUGCCUUGAUUGGAGCUCAACGGAUCCCUGAGCCCCGAGGCAGCAGGCGGGCGUUGCGCGGGGUCACCGGUGACGCCCAGCGGGCGGCUGGAAGCGGAGACUUCCGUGCUCCGGUCUAGCAGUCGGAAAGCUGGGGCCAGGCCGAGGUUGUGCGGGUUGGGGCGCAGAUGUCAUGUGGCCUAUGCUUUGGACCAUGGUGCGCAGCUAUGCUCCUUAUGUUACAUUUCCUGUGGCCUUCGUGGUUGGGGCUGUGGGCUACCACCUCGAAUGGUUCAUCAGGGAAAGGAUCCACUUCCUGUGGAAGAAGAAAAAAGAGCAUCUCAGAGCGCCGGGAGGAUCGUAAGCUGGAUGAACUUCUAGGCAAGGACCAUACCCAGGUGGUGAGCCUUAAGGACAAGCUGGAAUUUGCCCCUAAAUCUGUCCUGAACAGAAACCGCCCUGAGAAGAAUUAAUGGAAGACACAGGACCCUAUGGUCAACAGGGCUGUGACUGGUCCUGCCAUGAUGUCAACUCAGCCCCAGAACAUACAUUUGAUUGCUUUUGCUUAUUCUGACCUCUUCUGUACCUCACAGCCUCACAUGUACUGGCUGCACCUUUAUAGCCAGGGAGACACAGGAGCAGCUGAGGGGCCAGCCAGAGAGGAAGGCUGAAUCUAUAGAAUGGGGUCCGACUGCUCAGGCUUCCGAGCUUCUGUUGGUGCACUGUCCCGAGAGUGCUGUAAAUGAACAUGGGCUCUCAGUCUCCUGGGGAGGUGGUUUGGCCUCAAGUGUGGAUGGCUGGGAUUUGGGUAUUCCCUUUAGGAGAGAUACCCAUGUGUCUAGUUCCAGUUUGUACAGGGAAGAAUUCAGAAAUCUACCUGGUUCCCUUGACUAGUUUGCCUUACCCUUUGUGUUCAUUCUUCCUGAAAUCCUCUUGUCAGCUCAGGAAUGGGAUUCCCUGGGGAAGGAAAGCAUUUUCUGUUGUCAGAUAUGCAGGCUGUUCCUGCUGGGGCAGGGAGGAAAUGUGCCUGGUGAAUUUGCUUGGAAACAAUCACCGUCCUCUACCCCUCAUCACUUGAUUAAAGUGGCAUCUGAGAACCAUUUUGAUCGAAUCCUGUCUUCUAGAUGGCAUUUGGGGUAGGCCAGUGAUAGUGGUUAAGGACUCUGGUUGCUGUGAAUCCAGGAGGCGGUGGUUCCCAAGAGCCUUUUUACCAUCAUGAUUAGAGGCAGUAGCUCUUUCAAAGUCUUAACGCUCACAUGUGUGCCACCCUCCUUUUCUCUAUAAGAAAAUAAUAUAUAGGGCCGGGGAUUUAGCUCAGUGCUUUUGCCACCUGCUGCGCAAGCGCAAGGACCUGAGUUCGAUCCCCGGUACCAAAAAAAAAAAAGAAAGAGAAAAUAAUAUAUGCACAUUAAAGGAAAUUUGGUAGGGAUUAGAACAAGGUCACCAACACUUCCAGCACUGUAAUGCAACCACUGUUAGAAUUUUGUUAUCUUUUCACUACUUUUCUGUGUAGUUUUGUUUUUGUUUUUGAACCAGGGUUUUGCUAUGUAGUUCAGGGUGGCCUUGAACUCACUAUGUAGUCCAGACUGGCCUUGAAUUCAUGGUGAUCCUCCUGCCUCAGCCUCCCAAGUGCUAGAAUUAUAGGCAUGUGCCACCAUACUGGGUUUCUGUGUAGUUUUUAAAGACAGUUACACCAUUAUACUUUAAAUUUUAUAUUGCUUUUUCACCUGUUAUUUCUUAAAAUCAUUCAUCUUAUCACAUGGUCAUAAUUGGGGUUUUUUUGUAUAUCCUUUUAUUGGUACAUUUUAGGUGUACAAUAUAAUGACAUUCAUCAUUGGAGAUAUGCACAUUUACAGACUCUCUUGGUUCUUAUAUUCUCAUAUUAAUUCCAUUCCCUUCUUUCCUUUCCCCUCCCCCUCCCCUUUGCCCCUUUUCUUCCUAUUUCACAUUAUCUAUUAUACCUUUUAGUCCUUAUUUACCCUUUCAGUUUCUCACACUAGAGAAACUAUUUGGUAUUUACACAUGUGUGUCCUGUUUAUUUCACUUAAGAGUAUCACCUCAGUGUGCAUCCAUUCAGCAAUACAUGUCUCUAAUUUCUCAUUUUUUAUGGUUGAGUAGCACUCCAUUUUAUAAAAAAACCACAUUUUCUUUAUCCAGUCUCCAGUUGAUGGGCAUUUGGGCUGUUUCCAAGUUUUAGCUUUUACAAACUGUGCUGCUAUGAACAUGGGUGCACAUAUAUCACUGUGGUAUGAUUCUUUUUAAUUCUUUGGGGAAGAUCCCCAGCAGGGGAAUACCUGGGUCAAAUGGGACUUCCAGUCCUAGUUCUUUGAGGUAUCUCCAUACUGAUUUCCAUGGUGGUUGCACCAGUCUAGACUACCACCAGCAGUGGAACAGGGUUCCUCUUUUCCCACAGCUCCUACAGCAUUUGUUGUUGAUUGAUUUCAUGAUAGCAGCCAUUCUUUCUGGAGUGAGGUGGAAUCUCAGUGUUGUUUUCAUUUGCAUCUCUUGGAGGUCAUAAUUGUUUUUAAGUACCUUCUGAAGAAUAUAGCAAAAAUUGAUUUUCAACAGUUUCCUUAUUGCUGAACAUUUGAAUUGUUUCUGAUUGUUCACAAGUUUAAAUACUCCAAGGACUGUUUUAUGUAAGGCUUUUCCUGCAUUUUGGAAUCAGUGGUGGGAACAGUAAAUGGCAUUUGGAUGACAUGGAAUGAACAGUUUUCAGAGUCCAUACAUCGUAGCAAGUGUCUCUCUGAAAGGGUUGCAGGAGUUAAUGCUAAAUGUCACCACUUGAGGUGUUGCUGGUGAGGUAAGGGCAAUGAGCAGAGGGCUGGAAGAGGCAGAAGAACGUGCUGCUCAUGAAGCUGACUCAUUUAACCUAAGUGCACAGGGAAGCAUAGUGAUCACUGAAGAGGGAAUCUGCCUGGAAAAAGGGAGGUUGUUUGCCCUGUCUCCUCUCUCAGGAUCUCUCUCUCCUCUGGGGCCUGAUGGUGUUAAUGGGGGCGGGCAGAACUCCUGAACAGGUCGAGAUGCCAGCUGGGGAGUGGGGCAGUGCUGGGAGGAGGAGGGUGCUCUAAGUGGUGGCCUGAGAAGAAAGGAUUAAGUCCAGUCAGUGGCUUCCCCUCAGUGUCUGUGGCCUAGUGGAGAUGUUGAGCUGAGCUGCUGUUGGUCCUCGGGGAAUAAAUCUGAUGAGAGUGGGGAAAGACUGCUACCUGAGGAAGGUGAGAUUUCUGGUUCCAAAAGGGUCUGCUAAGCUCAGUUUCUGCUUAGGGUUCUGGCUAGUGGCCUCUGCAUUGGUAGACCUGUGCUGCCACCCUGUGGCGGUUUUGAGCAUUACUAGGCCUGGAAUCUUCCCUGGACUAAAUCAGGAAUAACAAUUUUUUUUUUGGUAUAUCGUUUUAUUGGUACAUUUUAGGUGUACACUAUAAUGACAUUCAUCAUUGGAGAUAUGCACCUUUACAUAAUCACUCUUGGUUCUUAUUUUUCACCCUUGCCCAGCCCUCCCUUCAACCCCUCCAUCCCUCCCUAUUUACAAAGAUGUUGUUUCCAUUUUUUUCAUUUUCUCAUAUUAAUUCCAGUCCCUUCUUUCCUUUCCCCUACCCCUCCCACUUCCCCCCUCCCCUUUGCCCCUUUUCUUCCUAUUUCCCAUUAUCUAUUAUACCUUUUAGUCCUUAUUUACAUUUUCAGUUUCUCACACUAGAGAAACUAUUCGGUAUUUAAACAAAUCUUGAUGCCUGCAGGAUCAGAUGACAAAUGAGCAAAGUACAGCCCUGACAAGAGGGGGCAGUAGUGAUUCAACUUCCAGUUUGCUGCUUCCUCAGUGGCACCAGUUUUCCACUUUUUUCCCUUAAAAAUGUAAAAGUUAAGUGGAGUUUUUAUUAUUUAUCUAUAGAAACUUAUGUUUUAAAAAAAGUCGGCAAUUCAUUUUUUAAAAUCUAAGCAUGCUAACAUACUUGGGUUAUUUGGAACCAGUGAGGGUCAAUUUGUGAUCUCUCAAAAAUGCCCCUCUUGUCCUGGGGUGGUAGUGGUGUAGCUCAGUGGUAAGAGGCUUGUCUAGCGUAUGAGUGAAGCCCUGGGUUUGACUCCCAGCACUGCAACAAAAUCAACAACAAAAAAAUGUCCCUUUCCUAAUGAUAUCUGAGAGUUACGCAUUUUUUUCAAACAACUUGUAGCAAAUAUUAGGUCACAGAAUUGAUUUCCAUUGAAAACUCUUUUGUGUAUCCUACACAUGUACAGUUUAAUAUCACCCUAAGCAAAAUAUUUGAGGAUGGAAAGCCACAGGGACAAUACCCACAGAUUUUUCCCACAGACAUUUUUAGACUUUCAGAUAUUUUAGUAUAUCUCCUACCAAUGUCUGGUUGAAGAAGCUCUAUCUUUGGAAAUCUGAGUUGCUCUCUUCUUCCAGGCUGACUUUGUGCCCCUUUUUAAAAUAAUUUCAUUUCCUAGGGAGUGUCCUGGCCAAAUUUCUGGCUCUAGCAAGUCUAUUAAUACUCUCAGCUCAGUCUUCCUUUCCCAUGGACUGGUGGAGAUCCAAGGCUGCUGUAGCCACUCUUAAGAUGUUACAGCAUCUUAUAGGUGCUCUCCUUGACCUGUGCACAAGUGACAUUAAGUAGCAGGGCUUGUGUUACUGGCUGUAGGCAAAGAUAGGUCAGGGUUGCUGGAAUGCACCAGGACAUGGACUGGUUUUCUUCCAUGCUUGCUAAUUCACCUUGGAGUUAUGUGACCCUCUCUUAAACUGGCCCGACAAUCAUAGUUCACUGAAAUACAUCAGUUAGUACCUGCGCUUGCCUCUUGUUUCCCUCCUCCACAGGUCUUUUCCCAGCCUCGUGAUGGUUGUGGCUGUGGAGCAGGGUUAUCCUAUCUGAGCGGGGCAGGAAUCACCUCUCUCCCUCAGCGGCUCGUUGUCUGGUGCUUUUCCAUUCUCGCUAGACCCUUUCCUGUGCUGUGUUAGCACAAGUCAGCUGGGUCGCUGCCAGGACAAGCCUGCCAGGGAGCCCUUUGACUUGUCAGCUUCCCAGCGCCCUGGCUGAUGGGACUGUUGGCUGCGUGAAACAGCAUGGAAGUAGCCUCAUUGGAGUCUGGGUUGUGAGCCAAGCAGCUAGAAUUAAAAAGCUCAGUCUUGCCUGGCUUGUCUUAUGCCACUUUGGGAUGUGUUUCCAUGUACUACUCAUAGGGUGCUAAGCUAGGGCCAUGCUAUUGAGUGAAAAUCAGGUGGCUUUUGGUGGGUGACAGACUUGAGUUAUGAAUAUUGUCUCAAACUAAAUGACCUUGGUCAAGUCACUGAGUCUUUCUUAGCCUCAAUGUCCUCAUCUAUAAAACCGGGGUAAGAAUUUUCGCUGGGCUGUCCCAAGGCUAAGGUAAUGUAUGUGAAGUGUUAGCAUAGUCCAUGGGCUCCAUGUAAGUAAGUGCUCAGUAAAUACUAGCUGCUUAAAUUUUGUUUCAGGAAGAGCUUACAUUUCCUACAAUAGUUGCAUGUAUCAUUGUGAUCCUGGUGAAUGAGGAACGGGAGGAGAGAGCAAUCUUGGCUGAGUAAUAACAAGCUCUCUCACAGGUCUGGCUGAGGGCCUUUUAUAAAUAUCUUAUGGAAAGAAUUGUCUUGCCUAAGGACCAAGCUGGCAAGGGAUUGUAGGCUUCAGAUCUGGGUUACUAUGAAUUCUAUCCGUGCUACCUGCAAACUCAGAGGUGACAAGUGGGGAGGAGGUUGUUCAGAAUACCCAACAGGUCAAGAAUUAGGAGCAGAGGUGGACGACAGAGGCAAGAAAAUUUGGUGUUUGGGCUAUGCCUUCUCUCCUGGCCUUUGGUUUCCCCACCUGCAAAAUGGGGAUGCAAACAUGUUCCCUGCCAGUGGUGUGGAAAGAGUGAGAAGCAGUUACAAGUGCUUUGAAGACAUGCAAGUGCAAGCCGUGACAACCCAGGAAAACCUCCCUUCUAUCUAAGUGGGAUGGCAGCCAGUCUGAACAAUGAAAUAAAAAUAAAUUGCUCUCUGAUUCCUUUGCCGUACACAGUCUCUUAAAAGUAUUUGCUAAAUAGAAGCCCUUGGGGGAAUCAGCUUGAAAAGUAAAGAGUAGUAAUUGGCAGAUCCGUUUUCAUUUCUGUUCCAAGAGUGCCUCUCAUGUACUUAAGAGUUUAUUCUUUUUCAACUAAAUUUGUUAACAUUAUAUAUCUGUUUGUCAAAUCCUUUUUACAUAAUACAAAGGUAAAGCCUGGCUUUUAAAAAAAAUGUCAAAUGUGCCCUCCAGAUUAUUGAAUUUUUAAAAAACCAGCAAGGGCAGCUUUUCUGUCUGGAAGAGUCCAAAGGUGUUUGUGCUUUAUGCCCUCUCUCACUGUCCCUGUUCCCUCACAUCCAAGCCCAGCUCCACUGUCCAUUUCUAUUUUAUCUGAGCCUGAGCUGCCAAGUGAAGCUGGAGCAACUUGCAGCCCUGGUGCCUGGCACUCUCCACUUAUGAGUUUCUGGAUGCAACACAGCAGCACUUCAUAGUGAUCCUUUUUUAAACAAAGAUCCUUGAGCCCCCAGCCCUAUCCUGGCACCCUUAGCUUUUUUGCUGAUUUGUUUCCCGCACUACAGUGCUGAAGCCACACCAUUUUGGCUGAAAGCCUUUGUAAUGGCAAAUCUGGUGUCCUUGUUUUGGUCCUGGUCACAUUCUGGCUCUUUGCAGCACUCUUCUUGGGCUUCUCCUCGACAUCACCUCCCCUUCAAUGUCCUUUUCCAGCUUUCCUCUGCCAUGGUUCCCUCCUGUUCUAAAUGUGAGUGUUCUCCUGGUGCAUUCUUGCCUCUGCUUUAAUGCCUUGUUGGGCAGUCUUGACCUCACCUGUGGUUCAACUACUACCAGUAUCUACCUUGCUGACAUCCAGGUGUGUAUCUUCUGAAUUUUCCUGUCAACACUGAAACAUACAUGAUCUGGAAUGGUGUAUUAUACAUCUCUGCCUAGAUUUACCAUAUAGCACAAUGGUUCAAGCAGUGACCUGGGUGUGAAACCAACUCUGUAAUCUAGUUGUAUGACUGAGAAGUUCAUUUAAACUCCGAGCAUCAUCUGUAAAAUGGGAGCAAGGCUAUCAGAGUUGUGUUUUGAGGUGCCUACCAUCUGGUGCUAAUAGCAGCAGUGUUUUGCUUUGCCUUCCCCAAGACUGGUAAUGAACUAAAUCAAGAGAAAUUACUGGCUUAUUUCUCCCAGGAGAAGUGGAGCUUGGGCAGAGGGCUGCAUUUCUCCACUGGGCAGAACCUGGACCAGCACAGCUGGUGAUGAAUUUGACCCUGAUGACUCUGUAGAGGGGAACAAUGUCCUCAGGAAAGCAUUCAGGAAGCCCUUCGUGUAGCAGUGAUCAAAGCUCCGCAGUAGCUCAGCAGGGUGGAUAGGAAGGCUCCAAGGAAUCCAGCAAGGCUGGGGUUCAGCCCAGGGAGCCACUUAAUGCACUUACCAGGUGGUGUGCUCCUCAGUCUCAGCAGACCCCUGGGCAACCCUCUGGGAUGAGGAGUCCUGGGCAGGGGUGGGAAUGCCUGUCCAGAGCCUGCAGGGCCAUCCUGGAAUGUCUGUUUUGUCUCAUUUUCCCCUUAGCACCUUCCCCUCCAGCCUAGGGCCUGAAAGAGUAGAGUAGGCUGGCAGGUGAGCCCUGAAAACCUUGCAGACAGAAAGGGCAGGGUCUGGUCUCUCCAUUUCAUCGUGAAGCCAAUGUGAGAGGCUACAGAGAGGCAGCCCAGUGGUAGAGCGUGCUUUGCAUGUGUGAGAU
ensembl:lncRNA